AUGGAUAGCAUUAUGCUCCUAAAAGUGCUCCUACCUAAGCUUUUCGCUAACCGUUCGGUUCGGUUUCGAAGCAACCGAAAAACAAUCACGAUUAGAGCAUGACAGUAGGAUGGUAUAGUGACAGUGAUGCUUUUUGAAAUUUUGUAUAUGUUCAAGUUCGCCUUUUUAUAACGCUUCUGCUCAACUUCUUUUAAAGGUUUGAGAAUAAGUGACUGAUGGCAGUUUUACAGGGACCGAAAGGCUCCGUAUGACUAUAAAGCAGAGAGAAGUAUCGCUUCACUUUAUGCUACAAGAUGUCGUGAAGAUGUGGGCUUAGGAGUGAAGUUUUUUUUAUUCAAUUUUGUUUAAUAAAAGGUUUAAUAUAAUGUUUAUAAUAAUGUUUAAA